GUGAGCUGAUUCCAAGGUCAGGAGAGUGGAAGUUAAAAGAGCCUAAAGGGGACACUUUCCUGCCAUCAAUCCCAUGGCCGUGUGAGCAGAGCUUCCUGUCAGCCCGAGGUUUGACUGAAGUGGCCUUAAAGGUAACAGAUGAUUUUUCUGGGGCAUCUGCUGAAGGGGACAAGUCAUGGAAAGUGCUCAGUACUCAGAACAUCCCCAGCACCUGGAGGCCAGCAUUAGUCUUGAUAGAAGUAAUGGGGAUUCUCCAUCCAGUGCGUGAGACCGAAGGAAGAGAAAGAACUCGGAGAACUCAGUUAUUCCAGCUCCAUUGCUGCAAAUGCAGAAGGAGUUAAGAAUUACAGAGAUGUCUGGCUCAGAAAUUUCCUUUCUCUAAAAUAGCUAUUU